rnacentral:sRNA from 1 species
AGCUCAAAUGUUGCGGUGUGAGUGGAAACGUAUCAAGCCCUGAUGCUUGGUUUAUUUACCAGUCUAGCAAAUUCUUUACACAACAACAAGACUCAGAUAGAAUCUAUGUACCAGAAAGCUGCUGCAAUCCAAAUUUUAAAAAUGCUACCGGUCUGGCACUUUGUCAGAAAACUAAUCCAGA